CACAAGUGGGCUUCUUCCCAAGCCGAGGAAGAACAAGGUGCUAGUACUAGGUGUUAGGAUGAUCUCCACCGUGUGGGCCCAACGGCCCACCGGGCCCUUAGAUCCGCGCCCUGAUCGGGGGCGCUCAACCCACUAUGGUUGACGGGCCCCUGUCACCUGCACUAUAUAAAGAGGUGGGGGACGCCGGCUCGCACCACGAGGUUCGUCGCGACGCCGUACACCCCACCUACAUCCCCUACCGAUCUAGGGUUAGUGCAGUACUGACGGGAAGCACCGCCACCACUACCCUCUGCCAUCUCCGGCACCGGCGCCAUGGCCGGCACCGGGAGCUCCUCGAACCACAUGGAAAAGGUAAUACCUAUCACCACUGUUGCCGGAAUCCUAGCCUAAGCGAUCCAAAGCAACCUAUCAAUGAUAUCAGCCAGAGAUUGGUUUAGGAUUUUCGGUACAGAAAAGAAAAGGAAAUCCCCUCCCCCAAAGAACCCUAACCCCAAAAUGAAAAAGAGGGGAAAAGAAGGGCAAAGAAAAGUGCGCCGCCGCAAGGACGCGCCGUUCCUCUCGAUCCGGACGGGCAUCGGCAAGCCGAGCCGUUCGGACGAAGAACACACCCCCACUGGGGCAAAGGGCACCACCAACGAGCCGUUUGACGGCGGCGCGUUCACCCUAGAGGUGCUCGCGCACGCCGGCAAAGGGGUCAGCGGGGGCGCCGCAUCUGGAAACUGCCGUCGCUCACGUGAAGGGGAGCAGAGGAGGCUCUGCUCGCGCUGCUCGUGUCUCUCUCGCGCUGGGGCGGUGGUGGAUGGAAAGAAGAGAGGGAAGGGGAACGGCUCGCGCGGCGCGGUGGCCCUCGCCGCCGUCCACGGCGGCCGGAGCGGCCCAUCAGGGCGCUGCCCUUUUUUCCUCGACAGAGAUGGAAAAGAAGAGAAAGAAGAAGGGAAAGGGGAAAGGAAGACAAGGUGGCCAGGCUCGCGCGGCGCGGUAGUGGACUCCGUCACCGGCGGCCGGCAUGAAGGCUCGCGCGGUGGCCGGACCAGCCAGAGAGAGCGCUGCGAGCGAGAGGAUGAGCGCCGCGCGGGAGGAGAAAAUGGACUAGGGUUCAGCCCCAGUCGACCGGCGCAGCUGGUUUUGAUCCAGCGAAUGGCGCGCUGGACCGUCAGAUCGGAUCCGACGGCCACGACGCCAACCCUAGCUGGCUGCGGGCCUCUGGGCCGAAAGAAGAAAGAGGCCGGCUCGCGCGCGCUGGGCUGCUGCCGCUGGGCCGAAAGGGAGGCCACAACCGCGGGCUGGGCCGAAAUGCAACGCGGCUGAGCUGCCCGUUUUUCUGCAUUUUAAUAGUUUUUUUUCCAGUUUUUUUACAAAUUUCAUACAGUUUGGCUAUACAAAAUUAUUCAAAGAAAAAAUUUCGUUUAGAAAAUAGAAAAGUGAAUGGAAAAAGUUUCUGAAAAUGAAAAAUUUCUAUUUUUAGAAAAAGAAAUGUUCAUGAAUUUUAUAAAGAAAAUAAUAAAGUUCAUGAAUUUUUUUAUUUGGUCAAAGAAAAGUUUCUGUAAAGAAUAAAAAGUUCAUGAAUUUUUAUUCAUGUUUUUCCGCUGCGUAAACAAUUAAUACUACUCUUUUACAAAGAAAAUAAAAGUUUAGAUAAAAUUAUAUUUAAAGAGCAUAUUAAAGUAAUUAUUGAAAUGAAAUGAUUAUGUUAUUUUUAUGACCAACGUUGUUAAUAACAUGAUCAUGUUUUAUUAUUGAAAAUAAAAGUGCUCUUUUAAAAGUGAAUAGAACUAAAGUAAAAGAUUAAAUUGUUGCUUCUCUAAUGCAUUUUUUAACCAAGCGGUUAAAAUUUCUUAGAGAGUAAAAGAGUACAGAAUUGUUUCUGAAUAGAAUAUUGUAAAGUUUUCGCUGCAUGGUAAAAGUUUUAUCCUCCAAUUAAAUUGGAACCAACGGGAAAAUUUAAUUGGAAGAACUGUUUUUAGCAUUGUUUUUCCCUUGUGGGUGAAAUCAGAUGCAGAUAGUUUCCGCUAUGACAAAAGAAAGAUAUUUGUUUUAAAGUUAAAAUAUGGUAUUGUUAUUUUCUGACUAACGUUGAUGAUAACAAUACUAUAAUUCUAUGAGUCUUAUGUUCAAAGCUUAAACUCUGAUAAAUUUUGUGUCAAAGUGAUCAAUUUUCAGAGAACAGUUGAAGAUGAAGAAAUGCUCUUGAACUAGAGAAAUGCAUAUUUCUUGUUUCCGCUGCAAUAAAGUUGAUGAUGAUGAUUAUUUCUUAGCAAAGUUGUUUAAUAGAAAUACUAUCAUCACAUUGUUUAUGAGUUAUAUGCAUUAUUUCCAUUUCCACCCAACGGUGAUAUGGAAUUAAUGUAGAAGAACGAGUUUUAUUCUAAUUCUACCACAACGGUGAUUUAGAGUAUAAAAAGAAAGUUUUAAAAAGUUUUAUGUGCAUAUUUUUUUAACCAGACCAACGUAGGGUUAUUUUUUUAUGCUCAUUAUUGUUGAUUAUUGGCUAAGUUUUCUCAGACUAAAAGUUUUCCAUGCUUUCAUUCGUGAAAGCGAAUGGCUGGGUACUUGUUACCCGAAAGAUGACCAAGAAAGGUCAUAACGUGAGGGAGUAUGUUCUCUCUAAAGAAUGGCUUCAAAAGUAAAGAAUUCUUGGAUAUUAAUCCAAGAAAAGAAAACAAAUAGAUCAUUGAGAGUCUUGGUUGACGAAUGUCUUUCAUGUAUUCUAUAUGAAGAAGAUUUUUCAGUCAACACGAUUUGAGAUGAAACAAACAACAUGCGUGUUUAACUUGACCAAUGUCGGAUCAAGCAUGUGUGUCAAAGAGUGUUCGGAUUUAUUUCUGAAUUUCAUGAUUGCAUAUGCAGUCAAAAGAGCCAAUUCUGGCAUUUAUGUUCCUUACAGGGAAUUACCCGCAUAGCGGGAAAAGAUGAUUAUGAUAAGAAACCGCAUGGCGGGAAAGGUCUGGGAAAACACCUGUGUAACUGGGUAAAGUUGACAUAGUAUUAUGUCAAAAAUCCUAUACGUCAGGAGAAAUUUUGGCUAAGACUUAUCCUGUGUGACAGGAGAAAGAUAUGAUGACUCAUGUGCGUUUAAUGUGUCCCACUCUGGGAGAAAAGUAUGGAGUAGCUAUUAUGCUUUCCUAGUAUCGACCGUACACCUUAUGUGCAACGGUCAUUAAGCACUCAAUAAAUCCACAGAGAAUAAAAGUUACAGACGAACCUAAAGAUAAGAAUGAUAUGCAAGUGUGACUUGCAAAAGUACUAAUGAUAAAGAACUAUUUUGAGUUUCUGAAAUGGAACGAGGAAUAAGGAAAAAGUACUCCCAUACCGUUAACAGAUAACUUCAUUACAUAUGAAGUAAUCAGAUACAUGAAGUAGAUACUCAAAGUUUCCUCAAUUCACAAGAGUUGUGAAUGGUUUUUCGAAAUUGUGGCAGAAAAGUUCUUGCCACAUUUCGAGGGGGAGAAAGAAAUAUGAGAUAUCCAUUAAUGAAGAAUGUGAUCAUCUGGGGGAGUACGACGAUCAUAAUAAUACCCCUAAAGAAAAGAAAUAGAUGUAUUCCUGGAUCUUUUACAGUUCCGAAAGCAGACUAAGGAAUACUAAGACAGUGUUUAAAGUGCCAUAAAGAAGAAAAUUUUAACAGAGUAAACCCAAAUAAUAAAGUUUAAUGAUACGCCAUUCUUAGUGAAGAUGGAGUAAUCUGGGGGAGCAUGGUAUGAAGAUACCUAAGACUCAAAUAGAUUGUAUCUGGGGGAGCAUGUUGUAUGACCUAUACAACACCCGUUGUUAGCUCUAUAAACGAGGAAUGAUUAAACAGGAGGUCCCUGUAAAACCUAUUGCCUCUUGGAAGUGAAAGACUACAAUUAAUUUGCCUCUUGGCAAUAACAGAGCAACAACAGCCCCAUAUGAAAGAAGUGCCAGUACCUGAGACACAGAUGGUCUCAAGGAAUGAGAAAAUCAGAUACUUCUGAUUACUAUAAAGUCUAUGUUAGUGAAAUUCAAAUGGAGGUUAAUCCCACCUCAUUUAAAGCGCUCAAUCGAGUUUUGAGAAGUGUCUGCUUAUCUAAAUGAUAAGAGACUAUGUGAGAUGAAAUGAAAUUGGUGAAUUCUGACGAUGUUCGGGACUCAUGAGUAAUUUCCAAUGGAGCCAAAACAGUAGGCUGUAAAGAGUCUACAAGGACAAUGUGACUCCAAAGGAAAUAUGUAAAGGUGUAAAACACGACUAAAAUCGAAAGGUUUUUUGCGCAUUUUACACUGAAUAGAUUACAAUGAGUGUUGGUAGCACAUCAUGAUCUGAGUUACAUCAGAUGAAAGAUAUUAUGAUCUGAGUUACAUCAGAUGAAAGUAAAGAACACAGGGGAUACUGCUUGAAGAAGUCUUUUAUGGACUAAAGCAAUCAAAUGUUGUUUUGGGUUAAAGAAAAUGAGAGGACAAUUGUGUUUGUAUAAAGUUAUAGAAUGGGAAUUUCAUUUCCUAUAUCUUGUACAUGCGAAUAACAUUCUGCUUGUUAGUAGUGAUGUUAAUUCGACUGCAGGAGGAAAAGAAGUUCUUGUCCUCAAAGUUCAAAAUUGCAUUUCUUGGAGUGUCUCUCGUUAUAAAUAUCGAGAUUCACCAAGAAAAUAAUAAAAUGGGGUAUUAGGAAUGUCGCAUGGACAUGCUAACAAAGGUCUCUAAAGUAUGCAUGCGAGAAAACCUACGCCUGUUCUUAUAGUCAAGGGUAAUGGAACUGGAAACUAUGGUGUUCCAAAAGUUGAUGAGAAAAGAUUGAAAACGGAUAUGGUACCAUAUGCUUCAGCUGUUGGAAGCUCAAUAUAUUACCCUGACACAAUUCACGUAUCCGGGUUAUUUUGGCAAUAUCCAGUACAUAUAUAGAUCGCUGGAAUGGAGUCAAAGCUAUCGGCCUCAUGCUGAAAGAAAUAAGUGCUCUCAAAAGAUUGUGAGUACAAAGACAGGACAUGUGAAAUGUAUAGCGAAAUCCACAAUUGUCGCUAACUUUCAUACUUGGAGGUUUUUGUGUGGAAAAGCUCCAAAGAAUGAAACAAUUAUCAUCAAUGUGAUGCAAAGAUAUUUUAUAGCUUGAUAUGAGGCUGAGGGACAGGCAAAAUGGUUAAGGAGACCUGUACCCGGAGUUGAUAAUGGUUGACAACAACGAUAACCAUUUUAAGUUUUUCUCUCCUAUGACAACGAGUCAAGUGUUGAUGCCAAACACACUGACACAGAGUUAUGCGUUGUAAAGGAGAAAGUCCGGAAUUAUGUAGAAAUGCUUGAAGCAUAAAAGCACUAGACAAGUAUUUGCAGAUCUGCUUAUUAAAGGCUUAUCGCCCAGUGUGUUCGGAGAACACACAGUCGACAUGGGUUUUAUGGUAUAGUCUAAGAUUUCCGGACAAUAAAGGGUCCAAGGUUAAAGAAUUUGUUUCAAAACAGAGAGGUACGUUGUGGCUGUCUGAUUCUAUCGGCAAUUGAGCUGUGACGAUGAAACAUGUUCUAUGUACUGAUCUGUUAUGAAACGAGUAAAGGAAAAGUAUAAGGUCAAAAGUAAAAGUUGAGAUCAAGGGGGAGAAUGUUAGGAUGAUCUCCACCGUGUGGGCCCAACGGCCCACCGGGCCCUUAGAUCCGCGCCCUGAUCGGGGGCGCUCAACCCACUAUGGUUGACGGGCCCCUGUCACCUGCACUAUAUAAAGAGGUGGGGGACGCCGGCUCGCACCACGAGGUUCGUCGCGACGCCGUACACCCCACCUACAUCCCCUACCGAUCUAGGGUUAGUGCAGUACUGACGGGAAGCACCGCCACCACUACCCUCUGCCAUCUCCGGCACCGGCGCCAUGGCCGGCACCGGGAGCUCCUCGAACCACAUGGAAAAGGUAAUACCUAUCACCACUAUUGCCGGAAUCCUAGCCUAAGCGAUCCAAAGCAACCUAUCACUAGGCACGGCCUACAAGGCGAUCAAUAGAAUUUUCCAAAUUCCACAUGUGCUGUCAACUGUCAUGCACAAUUUUUCUCACAGUUUUUAGAAUUUUAGAUACGAAUUUUCGCCAACUUACAAAUACCUGUAGUUCACAUGAACCCAAGAAUUAGAUCAUAAUCUUCCGCAUAAAUACUGGCCUCCCGUGGAGUGGACAGCUGCAACCCCGUAAACAAUUUUAAGUUUGGAACGUUUUCAAAGUCUGGAAACUGUAACAAGAUCCACUCUACAUUGACACUGCAUUAAUUAAUCCCCUCGAAAACAGAAAGAAAAAAGGACUAAACUGGCACUGCAUUCGGGCAUGUAUGCGGACAGGUACACAAGAACUCAAAACAGUGAGCUCCCAUUCUAUUCUGUCGCACGCUCUAUUGGCUAUGGACACUUGUUUUCAGCUGACAGAGAGCUUGCUGCAUCCCCAUCUGCUGAAAUCUGCAUCCGCCCUUCACUAGUCGAUGGGCACUUCCACCUCCAUCUUCAG
rnacentral:lncRNA from 1 species